CUGACCACAAAGAAAAGUUUCUCCAGAGACCCUUGCCAAGUAUACACUCACCAUGCUAAAAAGGAGUAUGCCUCCGACAGUUCCAAGAAUCAUGAACACAGUGCUUAAGACAUGGCAAGGAUGUGCAGAGAACUUAGAAGCUGCACAAAAAUCACUUUUGGUGUGUGCAAAGGCGUCCUUGGCACAGCUUGAUAAGUACUGAGCUGAAGGGGAGAGCGAGGAGGCUAGGAAAGGAAUGUUUGUUAAGGGCUACACAAAACUACGUGCUAGGUUCACUCAAAAGUCAACUCAUAUAGUCGUGUAAUUUUGAUUAGUUCUUAGUUCUCUCUUGCUAGCUUUGUAUGUCGAGGUGACAAUGGAAAAUCUCGUUGCUCUACUAUUUCCAUGUUUAGUACAAUGCGGUUUAAUAAUAAUAAGAUGUGAUAAGGAUUUAUCUGA